ensembl:lncRNA
AUUUAUAAACCAUAAUAAACAACAUAUUUAACAAUAAUAAUAAAACAAUCAUUGGGAAAACAUCUGAAGCAGUUCCUGAGAAGAGAGAAAAGAAGAAGUUAUUAACAUGUUAAUGUUGUUAGUGUGUCUGUGUGUACAUCUAAAUGUUAGUGUGUCUGUGUGUACAUCUAAAUGUUAGUGUGUCUGUGUGUACAUCUAAAUAUUAAUAUGUCUUUGUGUACAUCUAAAUAUUAGUGUGUGUCUUUGUUUAGUACCAAAUGUUAGUGUGUCUGUGUGUACAUCUAAAUAUUAAUGUCUUUGUGUACAUCUAAAUAUUAGUGUGUGUCUUUGUGUACAUCUAAAUGUUAGUGUGUGUCUUUGUUUAGAACCAAAUGUUAGUGUGUCUGUGUGUACAUCUAAUUGUUAGUGUGUCUGUGUGUACAUCUAAAUAUUAGUGUGUGUCUUUGUGUACAUCUAAAUGUUAGUGUGUGUCUUUGUUUAGAACCAAAUGUUAGUGUGUCUGUGUGUACAUCUAAUUGUUAGUGUGUCUGUGUGUACAUCUAAUUGUUAGUGUGUCCCGAUGACGUAGUGUCCCGAUGACGUGGUGUCCUGAUGGCGUCCUGAUGGCAUCCCGAUGACGUGGCGUCCUGAUGGCGUCCUGUUGGUCUGCAGACAAGGAGAAGAGACGUGAGGAGGAUCAUCAGGAUGUGUCUGUGUGUACAUCUAAUUGUUAGUGUGUCUGUGUGUACAUCUAAUUGUUAGUGUGUCUGUGUGUACAUCUAAUUGUUAGUGUGUCUGUGUGUACAUAUAAAUGUUAGUGUGUCUGUGUGUACAUCUAAAUAUUAAUGUGUCUUUGUGUACAUCUAAAUAUUAGUGUGUGUCUUUGUUUAGAACCAAAUGUUAGUGUGUCUGUGUGUACAUCUAAUUGUUAGUGUGUCUGUGUGUGGAUCUAAUUGUUAGUGUGUCUGUGUGUACAUCUAAAUAUUAAUGUGUCUUUGUGUACAUCUAAAUGUUAGUGUGUGUCUUUGUUUAGAACCAAAUGUUAACGUGUCUGAGUACAUCUGUGUGUGUGUGUGUGUGUGUGUGUGUGUGGAACCAAAUGUUAGUGUGUCUGUGUGUACAUCUAAAUAUGAAUAUGUCUUUUGUGUACAUCUAAAUGUUAGUGUGUGUCAUUGUUUAGAACCAAAUGAUAGUGUGUCUGUGUGUACAUCUAAUUGUUAUUGUCUUUGUGUACAUCUUAAUAUUAGUGUUUGUCUUUGUUUAGAACCAAAUGUUAGUGUGUAUGUGUGUACAUCUAAUUGUUAGUGUGUCUGUGUGUACAUCUAAAUAUUAAUGUGUCUUUGUGUACAUCUAAAUGUUAGUGUGUGUCUUUGUGUACAACUAAAUAUUAGUGUGUGUCGUUGUUUAGAACCAAAUGAUAGUGUGUCUGUGUGUAGAUGUCAUUGUUAGUGUGUCUGUGUGUACAUCUAAUUGUUAUUAUGUAUUUGUGUACAGCUAAAUAUUAGUGUGUGUCAUUGUUUAGAACCAAAUGUUAGUGUGUCUGUGUGUACAUCUGUGUGUGUGUGUGGGGGGGGAGUGU